GACCAACGCUGGCGGCAUGCCUAACACAUGCAAGUCGAACGGACAGAACAGGGAAGCUUUUCGGAGUGGAACUGGAAAGUUAGUGGUGGAUGGGUGAGUAACGCGUGGACAACCUACCUUGUAAAGGGGAAUAACCUCGAGAAAUCGAAGCUAAUACCCCAUAAUAACCUUGCUUCGCAUGAAGUAAGGAGGAAAGGCGGCCUUAGCGCUGUCGAUACAAGAUGGGUCCGCGUCUGAUUAGCUAGUUGGUGAGGUAAAGGCUCACCAAGGCGACGAUCAGUAGCCGGCCUGAGAGGGUGAACGGCCACAUUGGGACUGAGACACGGCCCAAACUCCUACGGGAGGCAGCAGUGGGGAAUCUUCCGCAAUGGGCGAAAGCCUGACGGAGCAAUGCCGCGUGAGUGAAGAAGGCCUUCGGGUUGUAAAACUCUGUCCUUAUCGAAGAGAGAGUGUUGUAGUAACUGACAAUACUAGGACGGUAGAUGAGGAGGAAGCCCCGGCUAACUAUGUG
rnacentral:rRNA from 1 species